AUUCCGCCAGCAUACGCAGACAGCCUUCGGCAUCGUAGCGCGAGCU
rnacentral:misc_RNA from 1 species